GAUGAAGAACGUAGCGAAAUGCGAUAAGUAAUGUGAAUUGCAGAAUUCAGUGAAUCAUCGAAUCUUUGAACGCACCUUGCACCCUUUGGCAUUCCGAAGGGUAUGCUCGUUUGAGUGUCAUUGUACUCUCACUCUCCCGAUGCUUUUGGAUCGGGAGUGGUGGACUUGGGUGUUGCUGCUUUGCUGUGGCUCGCCUCAAAUGGAGUAGUGCAACUCUUGGUUGGACAUAGUACGGCGUGAUAAGUGUCUUCGCCGGCGCCUCAUUAUAGAGGGUGGCCGAUCAGGAGCUCUGUGCUUCAAACCGUCUUCGGACAACAUCUGACAACUUGACCUCAAAUCGAGUAGGACUACCCGCUGAACUUAAGCAUAUCAAUAAGCGGAGGA
rnacentral:misc_RNA from 1 species